rnacentral:rRNA from 1 species
UACGUAGGGUGCGAGCGUUAAUCGGAAUUACUGGGCGUAAAGCGUGCGCAGGCGGUGAUGUAAGACAGAUGUGAAAAUCCCCGGGCGUCAACCUGGGAACGUGCAUCCAAAACUACUGAGCUAGAGUACGGUAGAGGUAGUGGAAUUUCCUGUGUAACGGUGAAAUGCGUAGAUAUAGGAAGGAACACCAGUGGCGAAGGCGGCUGCCUGGACCGAUACUGACGCUGAGACGCGAAAGCGUGGGGAGC